CAGUCGCCACGGUAAUACGUAGGGUGCAAGCGUUAAUCGGAAUUACUGGGCGUAAAGCGUGCGCAGGCGGUUUGUUAAGACAGAUGUGAAAUCCCCGGGCUCAACCUGGGAACUGCAUUUGUGACUGGCAAGCUAGAGUAUGGCAGAGGGGGGUGGAAUUCCGCGUGUAGCAGUGAAAUGCGUAGAUAUGCGGAGGAACACCGAUGGCGAAGGCAGCCCCCUGGGCCAAUACUGGCGCUCAUGCACGAAAGCGUGGGGAGCAAACAGGAUUAGAUACCCCCGUAGUCCCUGUCUCUUAUAC
rnacentral:rRNA from 1 species